rnacentral:rRNA from 1 species
UAUGCUGGCGGUGUGCUUAGCAUGCAGUCGAACGGUACAGGUCUAGCUUGCUAGACGCUGACGAGUGGCGAACGGGUGAGUAACACGUAGGUAUCUACCUCGUAGUAGGGAAUAGCCCAUCGAACAGGUGGGGUAAUACCCUAUAUACCCCUUGGGGAGAAAAGGCUUCGGCCGCUAUGAGAGGAACCUGCCGCGCUAUCAGCUUCUGUUGGUUGGGUGUAACGGCCUACCAAGACUACGACGGCUAGCCCGAUGUAGAGAGCACUGAUCUGGCCGCAAGGCUACUGAGACACGGAGCCUACAUCUACGGAUGGCAGACAACCGGGAAUUUAUGCCGCACAUUGGACGAAAAGUCUGACGCAGCUGACACCGCGUGUGGGAUGACACUCUUCGGAGCGUAAACCACCUGUGGCGAGGGAGGAAGUCUCUGACAGUACCUCGCUAGAAAGCACCAGCUAACCACGUGCCAGAAGCUUCGGUAAUACGUGGGGUGCAACGCAUUAUCCGGAUUUAACUGGCCGCGUACAAGGGUCCGUCGGCACGUCCCUAUAAGUCGACUCGUCUAACGACCCGAGGCUCAACUUCGGAACAGACAAUCGAAACUGUGGGGACUACGAGUCUUAUCGAAGGAAAACUAGAACUACUUGCGUGGACAGGGGUGAAAUCCGUAGAUAUCAACGCAGCGAAUACCGUGCAG